rnacentral:tRNA from 1 species
CGGCGGCUGGAGCGGGAGUUGGGCUGCGCGCUCUUCGUCCGGACGACCCGGCAGGUGUCCCUGACGGCCGACGGGGCGCGGCUGUUGCCGUACGC